UGAGAAUUUUACUUGUCUGUGUUUCUGAAUUCUCAGAAGCAGCAAAGUCAAAUAGGUGAGAUCUGUUUUCCCCUAAAGGUGAGGAUUUCCUGCUGUAUCACAUAUGGCUAACCUCAGUGAAGUUUUAGCUAAUGAAGCAAUGAUAGUGUCAAACGCAUUUCACGUCAUUCUUUGAGAGGAAUAUAAUGGAGCUGAUUGAGGGCUCUGCAGACAUUAAAGGCCAUUCAUGUGUUAGCAAUAUGGUUUCUCUGUGGUGCUGUGCCUUCAGGCUUACAGUUAUGAAAGUGUUUGUAACAUUUUCAAGGGUUACAGCAUGAAAAAACUGAGCAAUUGCAUUUCCCAGAGUCUGUCAACUACUUAUCUGAAAACCAAAAACCAGGUUCUCACAUCAGGUUGAUUUAUUUAUUACAUAGCAUAUUACAUGCCCAUAUAAUGUACAGGGCACACAAUCAAUUGUUUUUCUGCUAAAAAUGAGAUUCAGUAACAACAUAUACUUUAUUUUUCACACUCCAGCAAGUGUGCACCAGCAUGCAAUUUUAUGACUUUGAAAGAGAAAUGAAAGCUGGAUAACAUGUUUAACUUUAUUUCAGUUUUAUGAAUGUCCAGAUGUGCUUCUCCUCAGUAGAUCCUGUCUGUUCCAAUACCUAACUGCUAACAGACAUGGCAAAGCAAGGAGAAACCAUUGAGAUAUCUUGUGUUCCCUGUAAAAAAGUGUAUUAAAUAACACACUCCUAAUUCACACACUUUAGAGACCACCCAGAUAUUUCCAGAGCUGCCAUAUACCUACAACUGUUAUUUUUGCAAUGUAUAUUCAAAUGCAUUAAGACUGAGUAAAACUAGACUGUAAUUGUUGAAGGCCACACACCAGAUUACAUUGAAUUCUGCUGUUUAGUAAUUUAAAGAGAUUCCAACCUGAGAAAACAUUAUUUUUUUUCAGUGUUUUGCCCAUGAUUAGUGCCUCAGUGAGGUUCUACUAUGAUUUAAUUUACUGUAAGCAGUGUCAUUUUAUCAGUAGCAUGCCACAUGUAUUGCCUGUGCAUUUCCUUAAAGCCUAAUUAACCUUCAAUAUUGCAUGGGUUAGUUAGUGUUGAAGGCUCGAGUGCUGGGGUUGUUUUAGCUUGUGUUUCCUUUUAACACCGACCUUUUCAAAUUCCCUCCUAGAUAAUGGGAUACGACUUUUAAAUGGAAGAUAUAGCUUUCAAAAUGAUUUAAGAUAAUAAGAGAUAAAACAACAGAGGAGCUGAAAAAAACAGAUAGUGUCUCGGAGUUAAAAGGAAAACAACUAUCAGUGCCCCUAGCAAUUGUAUAAUUUGGAGACAUUUGAAAAAGACAGGUCUUUAGAGGAGGAAAAAAUGCCCUAAACUGAACACCACUGCUUUGGGGUUGUGAAUUUCAGCUGGUGUGAAACAUGAAGGGUACAGAUAAACUGCAUCUGAUGUAAAGCUUCACUGCAUAGAGUUAAACCAGCAGAAAAUUCGAGUAGGAGGAAUGAGCUCAGGCUGGACCAAAACUCCACUUUGUGUGGCCAUGGCAGCUUUGGUCCCAUGUUACCAACCUGAAUAGGAGGAAUAGGCUUAUACUGGGGGAAGAACAAUUCUGAUUGCAAAGGAAAGGUGGUGUGUGCACUGCUCUAAUUUGUUGUGCUCUGGCUACAUGAGCUGCUGGAUUCAAACAGCUCAGAAAGACCCACAAGUCCCACAGUGCUGUCUGAGCUCUGCCUUGGGCUGCUGCUCCUUCAAAAAUGUCUGGAGGACCCAGUCCAAGGUGAUGAUGGAUGUUUACCAGCUGUGAGAGUCAUCACGGGGAACUGCUGCUGCUCUGAAGAGGGAAAAUUCAUUAAAGUUGCCCUUGUGAAGUUGAACAGAGUUUGCUGCUUUGUCUGGAUAUAUUGAAACACAAAUAAUCCACAUUUCAGCUCCAUUUUAGAAGGUACCCACAGUCUUUCUUGACAUUCUCCAUUUUGUGCAACCACCUGGAUCAGGUGGAAGUGAAGUUGCCCUGUGCAUAUUUCUGUUACAUUGGCAGAAGUGCCCCAGGUAAGCACACUUUUUUCUGGCUUGUGUUUCAUUACCUUCCUGAGCUGCCUUUCUGGAGGUGUCUGUUCAAGUGAGCUUGAGCCAAUGGAACACCAGGCACCAGCCUGAAGAUCUUGGCUUAAUGGAAUCAUCAUGCCAGGUACAUGGGAAGCCUGGUGACAAUGUGCUGAGCAGUGAUUUGGAGCGUGAGCUGUUCCACCAGCUCCAGGCAUGCCAGGCCCAGAUGAACUCACUGAACUUGAGGUACGGAGCCACCCUGUAUGUAAGCAACAGGAUGCAGGGGUUUUGCUGUGCAAGAGGUGUCCAACCAUCUGCCAUGUGCCCUGCAUGUCUGCUUCACCCCACAGCUGUGUGACUGCUCAAACACAACUGUUGUGUGCCUGUGUAGCAGUAAAUUUCCCAGAAGUAGUGCUUCCUGCCUGAAACUGUGUGCAUGUGUGGGGCAAGGGUGGCAGAUUCCCAGUAAAUGGAGUGUGUGUCACCCAAAGACAGAUGCUUGUAAGAUCUCCAGAUACAAAGCCUCAGAAGUUCCAAACCAGAACCCUGAGGAAACUCUUUUUGAGAAAACAGUGAACAGUCAGACCCAAAUCCCAAGAAGACUGUUACCCCUCUGGAGGCAAGCCAAAGAAAAUGUUCACACCAGCAUAAACCCAGGGAUUUGGUGUUAUUCUACUGGCAGUGUAGUCGGUUGCCUGGCUGGAAAACCAGAUGAAGGAGGAGUGCUGCAUCUUUGUCUUCUCAUGCAACUUUUGUUUCCAGAAUUGUGGUGAUAGGAGGAGCAUCUUCAAAAUCUCUGCCAAAACCAAUGACUAUAUAGGCAGAAAUUAAGCACAGCUGUGCCUAGUAAACAUUACCUAAUAACAGCUCUGUAAGACUCCAUGAAUUGGGAUCUUCUUACAAGUGAUGCUGCAGCCUCAUAUGGGACUAAUUCAGACAAUGAGAUGCAGGAUGCAUGUGGCUGCCCAACACUCAUGAUAGACAUGGUAGAUUUUGUAAUCUCCUGUAUGCUCCUGAUAUUUCUUUUCUCUUUCCUUAGGCUUCUUACUUUACACACAUACCCUGCCUAGACUGAACUGCUGUGUCUGCUGGUUAGUAGCAAUUUUGCCAAUGACUUUUUGGGGACUGAGAUAUAAUACCUGGUGUAUGAAAUUCUUUCAUACCUGUUGCAUAAAAUAAUUUCAUCCUCUGUAGGCUCUCUCAUUUUGAUAUAUUGGAAAAUGAGUGACAUUUACUGUCUGUGAGAACUGCCUGCCACGUUCUCUAGGUAUGGUCUACAGUUGGCAUGCAGGCUGUAAUUAAAAAAACCCAUUAUGCACUGAUCACCAAAGGAGCAUUUGUUUAUUUUGCCUGCAGCUCAAGUUGGCCAUUUCAAUAUUGGUCUAGCUAUAAUUACAUUAAUAUAAAUAAAGCUGGAGUGUCUGUGCUUUACCCAACUGAGGGCUACACUCGAGUUUUGGCAGAGCCAGAGGGAUGAAUCUGAUUUGUUGAACAGAUCGAUCAGAUCGCAGCCAGCCUCGUAAUGCAAAGGUGAUAACCAGAGAUGCCAAAAAGAGCUAGCCACCGACAGACUUAGAUCAAAUAGAGCCUUCUACAUGGAGCCCUGUGGUGCACCAGUGGCACCCACGCUUCAAAGGCAACCCACAGGAGAAAAGUGAGCCAGUGACCUUUGGUUUUCCAUAAGGAAGCACAAGAGAUUGCUGUUGGGUUUUCCUAACUUCAUUUGGUACAAUAGUAGGAGUAUACAAGUCAUUAGAGCCUGAGAUGGUUGGAUUUGCCUUUUCUCUGUUUUGUCUAGAAGCUUUCAUGGAGGAAUUCUUCCAGAUUCAGAGCUUUCUCACGUUUUCUGAAGGGCCAGAUGUACAUGGGGAGGGCUGUGCUGGCAGGGAACAGGCUUCCAGCAGCAGACCCAUGUGCCAGUGGAACAAGCUGAGCUAGUAAAGCACAGCCCUGACAGUGUGUCUGGCCCCAACACACCAUACAUGGAUGGAGGCUGGCUCCACGACCAGUUUCAUGUCCCCGACAGACAUUGCUGAGUCAACAGAGCUGUGCCAGGUGGACCUGGCCAAAGUCGUUUUGCUGUUCUCCUGCAAGGCAUUUGAGCUACACAGGUAAUGUCAACACCAAAAGCAUCAGCAAACUAUAAAUGCUCUGACUAAGAAAUCCCUGUUCCUAUUUCACUUGCACUUCCCUACAUGUGUCCCUGUGACAUUAUAAUCCUGCCGGUCCUCUGGUGUCUGGCUUGGAGUAUUCUGGGGAAGAGAAGUGAUAAGAUUCAAGCUUUUAAUGAAAAGAAAAGAAAAAGGAAGCCUAUAAA